UACGUAGGGUGCAAGCGUUGUCCGGAAUUAUUGGGCGUAAAGAGCUCGUAGGCGGUCUGUUGCGUCGGCUGUGAAAACCCGGGGCUCAACCCCGGGCCUGCAGCCGAUACGGGCAGACUAGAGUUCGGCAGGGGAGACUGGAAUUCCUGGUGUAGCGGUGAAAUGCGCAGAUAUCAGGAGGAACACCGGUGGCGAAGGCGGGUCUCUGGACCGAUACUGACGCUGAGGAGCGAAAGCGUGGGGAGCGAACAGG
rnacentral:rRNA from 1 species